rnacentral:rRNA from 1 species
ACGGGAGGCAGCAGUGGGGAAUAUUGCACAAUGGGCGCAAGCCUGAUGCAGCGAUGCCGCGUGAGGGAAGAAGGUUUUCGGAUUGUAAACCUCUGUCAACAGGGACGAAAAUGACGGUACCUGUGAAGGAAGCUCCGGCUAACUACGUGCCAGCAGCCGCGGUAAUACGUAGGUGGCAAGCGUUGUCCGGAAUUACUGGGUGUAAAGGGAGCGCAGGCGGGAAAUCAAGUUGGAUGUGAAAUGUCGGGGCUUAACCCCGGAACUGCAUCCAAAACUGAUUUUCUUGAGUGAAGUAGAGGUAGGCGGAAUUCCGAGUGUAGCGGUGAAAUGCGUAGAUAUUCGGAGGAACACCAGUGGCGAAGGCGGCCUACUGGGCUUUAACUGACGCUGAGGCUCGAAAGUGUGGGGAGCAAACAGGAUUAGAUACCCUGGUA